UACGAAGGGGGCGAGCGUUGUUCGGAAUUACUGGGCGUAAAGCGUGCGCAGGCGGUUGUGCAAGACAGAUGUGAAAUCCCCGGGCUCAACCUGGGAAUUGCAUUUGUGACUGCACGGCUAGAGUGUGUCAGAGGGGGGUAGAAUUCCACGUGUAGCAGUGAAAUGCGUAGAGAUGUGGAGGAACACCAAUGGCGGAGGCAGCUCGCUGGGACGUGACUGACGCUGGAGACGCGAAAGCGUGGGGAGCAAACAGG
rnacentral:rRNA from 1 species